CGCUGAGAGAGGAGCUUGCUCUUCUUGGAUGAGUUGCGAACGGGUGAGUAACGCGUAGGUAACCUGCCUUGUAGCGGGGGAUAACUAUUGGAAACGAUAGCUAAUACCGCAUAACAAUGGAUGACACAUGUCAUUUAUUUGAAAGGGGCAAUUGUUCCACUACAAGAUGGACCUGCGUUGUAUUAGCUAGUAGGUGAGGUAAUGGCUCACCUAGGCGACGAUACAUAGCCGACCUGAGAGGGUGAUCGGCCACACUGGGACUGAGACACGGCCCAGACUCCUACGGGAGGCAGCAGUAGGGAAUCUUCGGCAAUGGGGGCAACCCUGACCGAGCAACGCCGCGUGAGUGAAGAAGGUUUUCGGAUCGUAAAGCUCUGUUGUAAGUCAAGAACGGGUGUGAGAGUGGAAAGUUCACACUGUGACGGUAGCUUACCAGAAAGGGACGGCUAACUACGUGCCAGCAGCCGCGGUAAUACGUAGGUCCCGAGCGUUGUCCGGAUUUAUUGGGCGUAAAGCGAGCGCAGGCGGUUUGAUAAGUCUGAAGUUAAAGGCUGUGGCUCAACCAUAGUUCGCUUUGGAAACUGUCAAACUUGAGUGCAGAAGGGGAGAGUGGAAUUCCAUGUGUAGCGGUGAAAUGCGUAGAUAUAUGGAGGAACACCGGUGGCGAAAGCGGCUCUCUGGUCUGUAACUGACGCUGAGGCUCGAAAGCGUGGGGAGCGAACAGGAUUAGAUACCCUGGUAGUCCACGCCGUAAACGAUGAGUGCUAGGUGUUGGAUCCUUUCCGGGAUUCAGUGCCGCAGCUAACGCAUUAAGCACUCCGCCUGGGGAGUACGACCGCAAGGUUGAAACUCAAAGGAAUUGACGGGGGCCCGCACAAGCGGUGGAGCAUGUGGUUUAAUUCGAAGCAACGCGAAGAACCUUACCAGGUCUUGACAUCCCGAUGCUAUUUCUAGAGAUAGAAAGUUACUUCGGUACAUCGGUGACAGGUGGUGCAUGGUUGUCGUCAGCUCGUGUCGUGAGAUGUUGGGUUAAGUCCCGCAACGAGCGCAACCCCUAUUGUUAGUUGCCAUCAUUCAGUUGGGCACUCUAGCGAGACUGCCGGUAAUAAACCGGAGGAAGGUGGGGAUGACGUCAAAUCAUCAUGCCCCUUAUGACCUGGGCUACACACGUGCUACAAUGGUUGGUACAACGAGUUGCGAGUCGGUGACGGCGAGCUAAUCUCUUAAAGCCAAUCUCAGUUCGGAUUGUAGGCUGCAACUCGCCUACAUGAAGUCGGAAUCGCUAGUAAUCGCGGAUCAGCACGCCGCGGUGAAUACGUUCCCGGGCCUUGUACACACCGCCCGUCACACCACGAGAG
rnacentral:rRNA from 1 species